rnacentral:tRNA from 1 species
CAGAAAGUAGUUUAGGUUAAAAAUAUUAAUUUUGGAGAUUAAAGAUGGAGAUAUUUCUUUUUCUGA